rnacentral:rRNA from 1 species
CCUACGGGGGGCUGCAGUGGGGAAUAUUGGACAAUGGGGGCAACCCUGAUCCAGCCAUGCCGCGUGUGUGAAGAAGGCCCUCGGGUUGUAAAGCACUUUCAGUGAGGAAGAACGCCUGGUGGUUAAUACCCAUCAGGAAAGACAUCACUCACAGAAGAAGCACCGGCUAACUCCGUGCCAGCAGCCGCGGUAAUACGGAGGGUGCGAGCGUUAAUCGGAAUUACUGGGCGUAAAGCGCGCGUAGGUGGCUUGAUAAGCCGGUUGUGAAAGCCCCGGGCUCAACCUGGGAACGGCAUCCGGAACUGUCAAGCUAGAGUGCAGGAGAGGAAGGUAGAAUUCCCGGUGUAGCGGUGAAAUGCGUAGAGAUCGGGAGGAAUACCAGUGGCGAAGGCGGCCUUCUGGACUGACACUGACACUGAGGUGCGAAAGCGUGGGUAGCAAACAGGAUUAGAUAAGUAGUC